rnacentral:rRNA from 1 species
GACGAACGCUGGCGGCGUGCUUAACACAUGCAAGUCGAACGGAAAGGCCCUGCUUUUGUGGGGUGCACGAGUGGCGAACGGGUGAGUAACACGUGAGUAACCUGCCCUUGACUUUGGGAUAACUUCAGGAAACUGGGGCUAAUACCGGAUAGGAGCUCCUGCUGCAUGGUGGUGGUUGGAAAGUUUCGGCGGUUGGGGAUGGACUCGCGGCUUAUCAGCUUGUUGGUGGGGUAGUGGCUUACCAAGGCUUUGACGGGUAGCCGGCCUGAGAGGGUUACCGGCCACAUUGGGACUGAGAUACGGCCCAGACUCCUACGGGAGGCAGCAGUGGGGAAUAUUGCACAAUGGGCGGAAGCCUGAUGCAGCAACGCCGCGUGCGGGAUGACGGCCUUCGGGUUGUAAACCGCUUUCGCCUGUGACGAAGCGUGAGUGACGGUAAUGGGUAAAGAAGCACCGGCUAACUACGUG